GCCAAAGGGAGUAGAGAUUGCCCUCUGCGCGUACCCGACUUUGCUCGCCUCCGCCUCCAGGAUGUGGGGGAUGGGAAGCGACCCUCCACGACCCUCUCCCCACCCAGCCCAGAAAGCUGAACUGGCAAGAGGGAGGCUCUCCAAGACAACUUCCCCCAGCCUGGAUUGGGUAGGCUUCUGCAGCCCCACCCGGAAGGAUUCGGAAAGGCCACAGAGCAGGGUAAGAGACCUUUGGUCUUUUGAGCAAGGAAGCCAGCGACCCACGCAGGAAUCGAGCUAAAGUCUCUUUAAAUAGCCCCUAGGAGAGUGGGUGAAAGGCGAGCUUGGGCCAUGAGAGAAAUAAUCCUCUGCAAGCCGCUUGCUUGGCUCCAAGUCCCUCUUUCAGGACUCUUCCACUGGAAAGAGAAUGAGCAAGGAGGAGACAGACCUAGGCCCGGAGCUGUUCUUGGCAUCCGCGGCUCAGCCAAGCUGUUGUUUUAAAAGAGCAAUAAAAAUGAAUUAUGACUGAACGCCUUCUAACUUAAUGCUUUCGGACGGGGAUCCCCGGCAAAUACGUAAGAGGAUUUUUAUUUGUGCAUGUGUUCCUGCAAUUGAUCUCUUUGAUGACAUUCUCAUUCAUAGAAAGCGUUUGAUUUAUGAGCUUAGGACGAAUCUCAUCCAGGAGCUGCACAGCCCUGCCACAGCCGGGACGCCCUGCUCUACUCUGUCGGAGCCUGGGGCUUGAACCUUCACAGUUCCCACACACCAAGACGGCUGAGGAACUGGGGGAGUAGAGGGUGGAGGGAAGGGUAGGCAGCGACACCCCCCCCAAGAAUGAUGGAGGCUUCAUUGUAACUCCCAAGCCUUUGCAGUUAAGAGCUGGGUUCUUAAACAUCAAUCAGCUUGCCCCACGCACAUGUUGCUGCAGUUUCUCACGGUAAGUCAUCAGAACAGAGCCCAGAAAAGAAAGAAUAAAUAAAAGAGCUAGUCCCAGGACAGGCUCCAAAACCAUAAAGAAACCCUGUCUCAAAAAACCAAAAAAAAAGUAGGGGCAGACAAAAUAAGAGGGGGAAAAAACAGAACACCCCAAUAACACACCCUAGAUCACAUUUUAUUGAUAUUUCAUUUAAAGUGCUCCUUCUCUGUCUAAGAAACUGGGUUAAUUAAUAUUCUAAGGUGCAGAAACUCUCUGUUUUAAAACAUCAAUUUGCUAACUUGACUUCAAACUUUUAAUGAUUUAUUAUUAGCAAAGUUAACAGAUCUAAUAAUUAAAUAUCGGUGUGUGUGUGUGUGUGUGUGUGUGUGUGUGUGUGUUGUGGGGGCAAGAACCCUGGGAUGACUGGAAAGAAGCCUGCUGGCAUGCAUUUUCCAGCUAGUAACCUCUGUUUUGUUUUAUUUUGUUUUCCUCUAUCUUUUAGGUCUGUUUUGCCUGAACCCAUCAACAACUGGGAGAUUAAUCAACCACAUUGAAAAUGGGGAGAGGAAAGGGAGGAGUUGGAAUGUAGAUGUUUGAAACAAAUGUGUAUAAAUAAAUGAAUUUUUGAUAACUUGGU